rnacentral:rRNA from 1 species
AGUGAACGCUGGCGGUAGGCCUAACACAUGCAAGUCGAACGGCAGCACAGGAGAGCUUGCUCUCUAGGUGGCGAGUGGCGGACGGGUGAGGAAUACAUCGGAAUCUGCCCAGUCGUGGGGGAUAACGUAGGGAAACUUACGCUAAUACCGCAUACGACCUUCGGGUGAAAGAGGGGGAUCGCAAGACCUCUCGCGAUUGGAUGAGCCGAUGUCGGAUUAGCUAGUUAGCGGGGUAAUGGCCCACCAAGGCGACGAUCCGUAGCUGGUCUGAGAGGAUGAUCAGCCACACUGGAACUGAGACACGGUCCAGACUCCUACGGGAGGCAGCAGUGGGGAAUAUUGGACAAUGGACGCAAGCCUGAUCCAGCCAUACCGCGUGGGUGAAGAAGGCCUUCGGGUUGUAAAGCCCUUUUGUUGGGAAAGAAAUCUUUCAGGCUAAUACCCUGGGAGGAUGACGGUACCCAAAGAAUAAGCACCGGCUAACUUCGUG